rnacentral:tRNA from 1 species
GCCGGGGUGGUGGAACUGCUAGACACGAUGGAUUCAAAAUCCAUUGCCAGCAAUGGCGUGAGGGUUGGACUCCCUCCUCCGGCA